rnacentral:rRNA from 1 species
CCAGCAGCUGCGGUAAUUCCAGCUCCAAUAGCGUAUAUUUAAGUUGCUGCAGUUAAAAAGCUCGUAGUUGGAUUUCGGGUGGGUCCUGCCGGUCCGCCGUUUCGGUGUGCACUUGCAGGUCCCACCUUGUUGCCGGGGACGGGCUCCUGGGCUUCACUGUCCGGGACUCGGAGUCGACGAUGAUACUUUGAGUAAAUUAGAGUGUUCAAAGCAAGCCUACGCUCUGAAUACUUUAGCAUGGAAUAUCGCGAUAGGACUCUGGCCUAUCUCGUUGGUCUGUAGGACCGGAGUAAUGAUUAAGAGGGACAGUCGGGGGCAUUCGUAUUUCAUUGUCAGAGGUGAAAUUCUUGGAUUUAUGAAAGACGAACUACUGCGAAAGCAUUUGCCAAGGAUGUUUUCAUUAAUCAAGAACGAAAGU